ensembl:lncRNA
UAAGAAUUCUGUCACUUCCCUCUGAACAGUGCUGAUUUUUGCGGUUAUUGUUUUAGCAGGACCAGGCAACUCCGUUAAAGUGAGGAAAGGCAGCACAGCCAACAGUAAACUCAACAGCAAAGGGUCUGAACUCUGAAAGGUGAGAAAACUGAAGCAAUACGGGUUAAGUAACUUUUUGGAUAACUUGCCUCUGGUAAGCAUCAGAGUGACAAUUGAAUCCCAAAGACUGGGACUUAAGUACGAAAAAGGAAAAAAAAAGUCAACCUCAAAACACAAAAAGAAUAUUAACUUCCGCAGUUAGCAUCUAUAUUUACUAACGAAUCAUGAUAGAAAGAAACGUUUGUUUCCCACCAAGUAUAUGUAUAAGCUCACAAGCAUUCUGCUGUUGUAUUUGCCACUCACAGAACGUGUUCAUGAUACUAAAUCGUAAAAUCUGUAAACCAAUACCAUUAUUGGGUUUAUAUUUUGGGUUAAACUGUUGACAUGUUCAAACAUUAUAAACGUCAAUAAUCAUGUUACAAGAAGAUAACUACUGGUGUGGAAACAACACUUACAUGUGGCCAUGGGUAAUGGGAGAGGGUCAGAAAUACAGUAUCAAAUCCCUGCAACACAGCAUGAGCUGGAUGCUGCAUAUUAAAGGGCAAAAAUAAGGUAGAGUGAUGAAAACAAGAAGAAGCUGGGUGUCCAAGGUAACUGUUGCCAUGUCAACACAUCAUAAACAGAUUGCCCUCCUUGGAGUAAGUUCAAGGAAUUUUCUGUCGCUCCUGCCCACGGAUUUGAACGUUCAGAAUGAAUUAAGUCUAAGCAAUUUUUAGAAAACUUCUACAUCCUAGAAGUCAAUGGCUACCAAACUGUGAGAAACAGGAAGCAGCGCUCUAGGCCUCACAAUCUAUACAGAAAAUGGAAGUUGAAUAUUAUGAGGAGAGACACACAUCAUUUCUGCUUAUAGUUCAUUGACGAGAAGUAGUUACAUGAUCUUACCUUACAGCAAGAGGCAGGGGCACGAUGGGAACAUACAUAGACACUUGAUGCUGAAUCACCAAAACAGAACAAAACAGGAAUACAAGAUUCCUUGUUAUGAUUUGGAUUCCUCAGAUCAGGCACACUUGGAUAAGACUUGAAUUCAAAACUGAGUUAAGUGAAAAGAGAAGCAAUGAACAGGCAUCCAUUUGUGCAUGUGUGUGUGUGUAUGUGUAGUAUAGCACAGGUGUUGUGAUUAUGAAGGAAGCAUCAGUAGUAGUGAAUUCCUGAUAUGGCAAGAAGUUUCCUGAUUAUGGCAGGAAAAGCAGUCCCUUUGGAAGCCUAGUUAUAUUGUUGGCUUGGAAAUUAUUCUUGGGAUCUCAACCUAGAGUCUAUUUCUAUUGCCUCCCAAUAAUUCAGUAAGAAAUUAAGUUCAUUAUAAUACAUUAUUUUCUGUGUAUGUUAGCUUGAGUGAGUCCUGUCUUUGCUACAAAUCUAUAACUAAUACAGCAGUUUGUGCCUGGUAAUAAGCCUCAAGGAAAUGGGCAUCUGGUAUUGAGUAUCUGGCCUGGUUGUGUUUGAAGACAAUGGGAAUCUUGCUAACAUAAGAAUAAAGAACACUGUUAUUCCAUCACAUGCUGUAUCAAAGCAGCAAAUUAAAUGAUUAUCAGUAGCCUCCUGGGAGAAAGUGUUUAUUGAAUGAGAACAUUUGAUCAGCUGAUUAACUGCUACAAUAUACCUUAUGACAAAAAUGAAGAAUGAAUGAGUUCUGGAGUGAGUGAACUGCUUCAGCUGUGCUGGAGAGUGCAGAAAAGGAAAAGGACAAGCCCAAGUUUUAAAGUCCUACUCAAAACAGCAUCCCAGGUCCAGAGAAUUUCUCUGAGUGCCCCAAAAGAAUUAUAAUCUCUUAUGCAGUGAGGGCAUAGGCUUAGCACCCAUGAUAAUCAGUGUAUUAAUCAGAAUGGCUAAGCUGUUCUGCAUUAAAAAACAAACCCCCAAAAUCUAAGUAGCUCAAAAUAAAAUAGUUUAAACUCCCUGUCCAUUGCUGGUGAGGGAGAGGCUUCUUCAUAGCCUCGAAAGGACACACACUGUUGAUGCAGCAGCUACCUUCUUGAACAUAGUGGCUAUGCUAGUUGUAAAGAAAGUCUGGAAUGUCUUGUAUCAGAAAUUAAAUACUCUAUCCUUGAAGUUGUGCAUACAAGUCAACUCACAACUGACUGAACAUAAACAAUAAUAUGGUUCUACCCCCCCCAAAGGAGUUAGUAAUUGCCAUCAUAGGACAUGUCUAGAGAAUCAAAAAUGAAAUAGUCACUGAAUAUUGGUGAACAGUGGUAACAAUUACCACAAUUGCACAGAGAGUCUAAUGCUAUUGAUUGCUACAUUAAGGUGUUGGAAACCUUUAUAGUCUUGACAAAUGUCUAAUGAGAAAAUUAAUGUGUUUAUUGGAAAAUAAUGAGCCCUCAAAAAUUAGAAUUGGAAGAUUUCAGUGGAUUCAGUUGACUCGGAAGUCCUGGGAUGCCCAAUGAGCUUUCCUUGCCCAUAGAAGUAGCUUUUUCUCCCAAGUGAUGAGGCUAAUUUUGAUUUGCCUUAAGACCUGGGAUAAUGUUACCUCAAGGAGAUACCUGCUCUCUAGCCUUAUCAUUAAUACUCCUGCACUGUAUGUACCUCUGUAGAGAGGGAUCUUAGGAUGACCUGGAGAUAAAGUUUAUUCAUCAUAGUCGAUUUUGAACUGAGGAAAAUGUAUGGGAGUUAAUUACAAAUAUGCUAGACGAAGGUGGAAAGAACACAAUUUUAGUUUGGGAUAAAUAUGUUUAUAAGGCUGCACUUCCCAGAGAAUAUGAAUAUUAUUUCUAACAGAGACAUCUGAAAAUCUCUCUGUUUUGUUGGUUGGUUUCUUAAACAUGGGCCCAAAUAUGAUUUAUACUAAAUUGUCAAAAUGCCAACAUUUCCAAAGUAAAACAUCAAAGAAGGGAUCCUAACACCUCCACGAGUUAACAAUGUUGGAGUGGCUUAGUCAUGUAUGAUUAAUUUAUAUAUCCACUGACUAUGACUCCUGAGAGAACACAAGGGAGAUUCCUUUCACCAACUCAUUGAGAAAUGCAUUGGUGAGGAAGUCAUAGUAUACUAUUUUCUAUUCUUUUAGUAGGAUGAGGAGGGUUGUAUCGAUUUGGGUCUGAUUUUAAUGAGUAUGAUGAGAUCUCAGAAUUCGGAGGCCAAGUGGAAACAUUGAAUGGACAGAAACAAGGGCAUCAUGGUUUUCAUAAUAAGUAACAAAAGAGCCGUCAGAAUUUGUGACUGAUGGUUCAUGGAAUACCAAAGAUUAACAUAGAUGGGCAGUCCACUAAGGUCUUACUUUAAUUUUUAUACUUAUAACUACUAUCUUUAUAAUUUCAAAUUUUACAUUGUAUUUAUUAUAAAAAGUAUAUUAUUUAUAACUAGAAAUAUUCUAAAGGUUAUAGAAGUCUCUGAAUUCAGUGCAUCAACCUCUAUGGCACUGGCUCUGCCAGUCCACCCACAUUUGUGCAUGCCCACUGGUCCUAUGACCAGUUGAUUGAGAAAUUUAAAAAAAGAAUUUGGUUUACAAACAGUUAUUCAUUAUAUACUAGAAGUAGUUAAAAGAGUGCCUGUAAUGCUGCAACAGCCCACUGUUUGGAAAGGAGAGGGGAGAAAGUUCUGCCAUUCAGCAGCAAUUCGAAUGAGGCACAUUGCUGUCACAAUGCAUGGAAGGAACAUGGCUGCAAGUAUGAAGUAAUAUAUGUUCAAAAACAAUAGGCGAUAGUUUGGCUAGAUGGUCAGGGCAUAACAGAGAAAAAUAUUAAAAAAUAGGUAGAUUACAAAGAGGUUUGAGGAAGAGGUAAGUUUGUGAACUUCUCAAAAUCGACCCAGAGUGAGAGGAUAUUUGUGUGUUAUAUGCUUCUCUUGGUAGGAGAAGCUCUAAGUCAGGUGAGUAAGAUGGCCUCUUUUUUAAUGAUAUUACUUGGCUUCUUUUCCAAGGCAUCCCACACUCGCUUAAAGGGGUCAGGGCAAAAGUGCUCAUGUUGUUGGGGACAGAAAUUAUGGAUGAGUGCACUCACACUGCUUUGCUCUUCACAAUCCAGCUAUGCCACUCGGUGUGUCCAACGCCAGCAGCCAUGAGGAACAUGGAGGGCUCCAAAUAGCAAUAUAUCUCUAGAGGACCAGUUAGUUAACUUGGGGCUUGUCAAAUAUGGAAAGUUUUCUUACUUGAAGAGACACCUAUUGUGGUUUAUGCAUCUCUCCCUGCCAUGUUUCUGCCAACAAUGCUACCAUAAACUUAACAUCAGGAUUCAACAUCAGGAUAUUCCACUUCUGAGUGAAUGAACUCGUUUCCCAGACAAAGUAAUGAGGCAGCUGGUUUAUACCCAUAGAACUCACCAGUCUUACUCUACCACCUAUAAGUAACUACUUGUAUGCACUCUUAAAGACUCUGUUAUUGCGAUGGUUACAAACAAAACUUUGAAAGCAUGAUGUCCUAGAGGUGACAGAAUAUUCUGCAAAUCAGUGACCAAUAUAUGAGGCUGGGCUAGUUCUCUCAUACUCAGAGCACAUGGAACUGGAAUCAAGUAAAUUAGAAGUAGCAUUUCUUUUUUUCUUUUUCUUUUUCUUUUUUUUUUUUUUUUAAAGAUUGGCACCUGGCUAACAACUGUUGCCAAUCUUUUUUUUUUUUUUUUUCUGCUUUAUCUCCCCAACCCCCCCUGUACACAGUUGUAUAUCUUAGUUGCACGUCCUUCUAGUUGUGGGAUGUGGGACACCACCUCAAUGUGGCCUAACGAGCGGUGCCAUGUCCGCGCCCAGGAUGCGAACCCUGGGCCGCUGCAGCAGGGCACGCGAACUUAACCACUUGGCCACAGAGCCAGCCCCUGAAGUAGCAUUUCUUAUACCUAGUGAGUAAUUCACAAUAUAUUUUCUCCUUUUCCUUGCAUAACAGAGUUCUGUUAGUUUAGAGUUCUUAGAUAAAUGCCUCCACUAGAUAAAGCCAUAGUGAUGCCGUUGAAUUUGUCAUUGAGAUCUCUAGCUGGUCAUUUUGGGCUCCUCAUGCUGCUAGACCAACAAACCAAAAAAGGGGACUAAUACUACGUUAUCUGGGAUAACUGAUUAUGAUUAUCAUGGGCAAAUGGGUUGUUUUAACACAAUGAGGGGAGGAGGAGUGUUUCAUGUACUGCCAUGACAAGUGUUAUUAGUGAAAGAUGGGAGUAACCACACAUAUGCAGGAGCAUCAAAAGUCAGAUCCUUUACGAAUAAAGUUUUAGGCCACCUGAACAGUAAAACAUACUUAAGAGUAAGGGCCAGUCCGGUGGUGUAGUGGUCAAGUUUGUGCACUGUGCUUCAGCAGCCCGGGGGUUCACAAGUUCAGAACCCCGGGCCCGGACCUGCACACUGGUAAUCAAAGCAUGUUGUGACAGGCAUCCUACAUAUAAGAUAGAGGAAGAUGGACACAGAUGUUAGCUCAGGGCUAAUCUUCCUCACCAAAAAAAAUACUGAAGAAUAGAGGUAGUAACUGUGAACAAAGGAAAUACAGAAUGAAUGGAGGAAGGAACAAGUUGAAAAUCUAAUUAUUACCUAAUACAAAUAUAGAGCCUAAGGCAGCUAUCCUUAUAUUCUUCCUUUAUGCCUUCAUGUUAACCAAAUUUCUUUUAUUUCUCUCUCUUUGUCAAACUAUUGUAGAUAGGAUAUAUUAGUGUUACUUUUAUCCACAAGGUAAAUAUCAUGGCUAUCAUGAUGGCAUUCUAAUUAAACUAAGAAACAAAUGAACAUCAGGCAGACUGUGCUUUUAGAGUAAAAUCGGGAUACUAUUUCAUUUGUAUGAAAGAUGUUGUAUUUAUUAGGAAGGUACCUGUUGUUACCAACUAUUGCUGUUUAGAAAUUUAAGGGUGGAAGUGGGUUAUUGAGUGGCAAGUGUUGGACUGUAGUAGAUAUACAAUAUUGAUUUGAUAAUGAUCCAUUCUAACUACUUUCUAAGAAAAUUCCUACAACAAGGGGCUCAAAAGCCAAAAAAUUUAUUUUCUAAUCUUCCUUGAACAUAGAAUUUCAAAUAUGAUCUUGGUCCUGCAAAUCAGAUAGACUUGAGCAAAACUUACAUUUAGAAUUAAAUUCUGUGGGAAAAGGGGCAGGGCUUGAGGCAUCCAUUUUCGCACGUGAGAAUUACGUCAGAGGUGAUGCGGAGCUGCAGCAGUGACUUCCUGUUGCUAAACUACCUUUCUCACCAAUCGUAGAAGGAACAGAGGCUUUCUUGGCAACCUGGCUCUGGAGCAUAUUUUUGGUAAUAGUUCCUGAAAGAUCAGGAUAGAGACAGUUUUUUCAGCCCCUCCCAAACUCCUGUAUGUAUUUACUGCUGCAGAAUAAAUCCUUUCCUGCUAACAUAAAAUAGAGCGAAUUCUCUUCUCUUCAACUGAAUUCUAAAUCAUUUAUUAACUGAACGUGUAAUACCAACUACAGUAAUCCCGAGGCAGGAGGGAUGAGGGCACAUGCGUGUGGUGAUGGAUGGUAAUUAGCUUUUGGGUGGUCCACGUGAUGUAGUCUACACAGAAAUCAAAAUAUAAUGAUGCACACCUGAAAUUUGUAUAAUUUUAUAAACCAGUGUUACCUCAAUAAAAAAAGAAAGUGUAUUAAUGAUAUUGUUAUUAUGAUAUAAAAUGUGUGUGUGUGUGUAUAUAUAUAUAUAUAUAUAUAUUUUGGUGAGAAAGAUUGUUUCUGAGCUAACAUCUGUGCCAAUCUUCUUCUAUUUUCUAUGUGGGAUGCUGCCACAGCAUGGCUGGAUGAGCGGUUUGGAGGUCAGCACCUGGGAUCUGAACCCGUGAACCCCAGGCUGCCAAAGAGGAGAGCAUGAAUUUAAACCACUGUAUUACCGGACCAGCCCGAAGUACAAUAUGUUUUAAAAGAACCACGAUAUGACCUUAUAUUGAACUUUAAAAAUAUCUGACGUUGUCUUUUCUAUGCCUAACAGAAAUUUUACCAUGAAUAAAAUAAUGACAUUCAUGGAAUGAGAGUUAACGUUUUUUGAGUGCUGCUCCUGUGCCAAGGAUGAAACUAGACACAUCAAUGCUCCUGUGCGUCCGCCCACAGCCUGCUUGUCUUCCCCAUCCACACCUCUGUGUCAGACAGUGACAUUAUCAUUUUUUACUGAAUCCAGCUUUCGUUUGCCUGCUUCUGAGAUUUUGCUAAGGCUUUUCAUCUUUUUGGUAUGGAUUCAACUUGUCGUACUUGAAUCUACUUUUAGGAUUUCACUAAGGUUGGAUUCCCCAGGUGUAGCAUCUGAAACAGGUCCGUGAGAUAUGUUGGGGGAGUGCUCUCAGGAGAAAGAGAAUGGAGAAGCAGCAUCAAGCAAAGAAAGCAGCUAAGCAAGGAUGUGCUGUCCACUAGAGCUUAGCUUUAAUUGCCCUACCCUUUGGCUGGCACUUCUGUGAGUCUUGGUGGCUUUUCAUGGCGGAUGAUCCAAACCAUCAAGUCAAAGGAGACUUAAGUCCAUUUUUAUGAUGCCCUUGUUAGUCCUCGGAUGCUUU